rnacentral:rRNA from 1 species
CGGACCUUGUACACACCGCCCGUCACACCACGAAAGCCGUCUACCCCCGAAACUAUCUAAGCUAACAGGAAACUGGGGCGGAUAGUGAAGGUGAAGAGGGUGAUUGGGGUG